GUUUACUGUGUAGUCUCCCAUUCAUCUAUGCUAACUAGAUUUUAAUACUGCAUCAUAGGACUGGGCAUGUAGUUCAUUGGUUUCACUGCCUGCUGCACAAGUGCAAGGACCCGACUUCGAUCCCUGUUACCAAAAAUAAAUAAAUAAAUAAACACAGCAGGAAAUAGCCCUGUAGUAAGAGAAACAGCAAUGGAAGGUGGAAAAGGAUGCGACUUAAGUAUUUCAAGUCAUUCAAAGGCAGAUGCUCAUAUCUUUUAGGUGACUCUUCUUCACCACCAGCUAAUUCUACCCAUACAGACCCCCAUGAAAUAAUUGUAGGUGAUUGCUUUGUUUCUGAUGAAAACCUUCAGAAGCUGGAAAAUGUCCUUGAUGUUUGGAGUUCCGAUCUUAAGACGAACAUUACAUCUGAACUAAGCAAAUGGAGACUUAAUUUUAUUGACUGGCACCGAAUGGAAAUGAAAAAAGAGAAGGAAAAAACAUGCAACACAUGUAAAGCAACUGUGCAGCCAGAUCAAUGA
rnacentral:lncRNA from 1 species